GGCAGCGUCAGAUGUGUAUAAGAGACAGCUAGUCGAGCGAUCCCGCGUGGAUAAUACACGGGCAUCAAACUGUCAACCGAAGCCGUGGGGUUAGUGAUGAGCUAACCGGUAGGAGAGCAUUCCUGCCAGCUUAGAAGGUCACCCGCGAGAGUGACUGGAGCGGCAUGAAAAGCAAAUGUAGGCAUAAGUAACGAUAAUGGGGGCGAGAACCCCCCACGCCGCAAGACCAAGGAUUCCCCGGCAAUGUCAAUCAGCCGGGGGUCAGCCGGCCUCUAAGGCUCACCCGAAAGGGGAUGCCGACGAGAAACGGGUUAACAUUCCCGUGCUUCUCGUCACCGUGACGCGGUGACGGGGUGAUGAAUGGACCGCGCGCUGACGGAAUAGCGCGUUGAAGGCCGUACCCUUUGACGGUGGUAGUCAAGCACGCCACCGGAGGCGAGAGCCGAUAGUACCACGAGACCCCGGUCGAGUGGAUAGCGUCCAGGCAAUUUACCCCCUAGAAAACCCGCUAAACUUCAAGUGACGAGGAACCGUACUGUAAACGGACACACGUGGUCGGGUAGAAUAUACCAAGGCGCUCGAGUGAUUCAUGGUCAAGGAACUAGGCAAAAUAGUCCUGUAACUUAGGGAAAAAGGACGCUCUAGUGAUAGAGCCGCAGAGUAAUGGCCCAGGCGACUGUUUACCAAAAACACAUGGCUAUGCCAAAUCGAAAGAUGACGUAUAUGGCCUGACACCUGCCCGGUGCCGGAAGGUUAAGAGGAGAGCUCAUCGGAAACGAGAAGGUUUGAAUUGAAGCCCCGGUAAACGGCGGCCGUAACUAUAACGGUCCUAAGGUAGCGAAAUUCCUUGUCGGGUAAGUUCCGACCUGCACGAAUGGUGUAACGAUCUGGGCACUGUCUCGACCAUGAGCUCGGUGAAAUUGUAGUUCCGGUGAAGAUGCCGGGUACCCGCGACGGGACGGAAAGACCCCGUGAACCUUUACUGCAGCUUCGCGUUGUUCCCGGGCACGGGACGUGUAGGAUAGGUCGGAGGCUACGAGUCGGUUUCGCCAGGAAUCGAGGAGCCAUCGUUGAAAUACGACCCUUCUCUUGUCUGGGAUCUAACCCAUUGUAAUGGGGACACUGCGUGGUGGGUAGUUUGACUGGGGUGGUCGCCUCCAAAAGCGUAACGGAGGCUUCCAAAGGUACCCUCGGGUUGGUUGGUAAUCAACCGUAGAGUGCAAUGGCACAAGGGUGCUUGACCGGGAGACCAACAAGUCGAUCGGGUGCGAAAGCAGGGCAUAGUGAUCCGGUGAUCCCGCGUGGAAGGGUCAUCGCUCAAAGGAUAAAAGGUACUCCGGGGAUAACAGGCUGAUCGCCCCCAAGAGCUCAUAUCGACGGGGCGGUUUGGCACCUCGAUGUCGGCUCGUCACAUCCUGGGGCUGGAGAAGGUCCC
rnacentral:rRNA from 1 species